rnacentral:rRNA from 1 species
AUGAACGUCUACCCAACUACUCUGUUAGCAGCAUCAGGCGAGACUGGCACGCACCUCAUCGCCGCCGCUGACCUCGACGCGGCAGUUGUCGACGCCGAGCGCCUCCAUGGCCGAGAGCAAGUGCUCGACCGUGCGCACCCGCGCGCCGCCGCUCCCGCUCCCGCUCCGCAGCGUGGUGCAGAGCGGAGACUGUGGCUCGGCAUUCCCCGCCUCCGCCGCCACCCUCGCCUCCUCCACGACGAAGUACCUCCCCUCGCCGGCGCGCGCAGGGAGCAGCGUGGCGGUGGCGCGCGCGCCCGAGUGGAGCCCCACGCCCGACCUGCUCACCGCCGCCGCGAGCGUCUGCUGCGCCCGGCCCGUCUGGUGGGAGGGGGGCAAAAGGGGUUAGUCAAACAGCCAGUCAGCGCUCCAGGGUUUAGAGACAGGCUCCUCCGCUGA